UACGUAGGGUGCGAGCGUUGUCCGGAAUUAUUGGGCGUAAAGGGCUCGUAGGCGGUUUGUCGCGUCGGGAGUGAAAACCAGGCGCUUAACACCUGGCUUGCUUUCGAUACGGGCAGACUAGAGGUAUUCAGGGGAGAACGGAAUUCCUGGUGUAGCGGUGAAAUGCGCAGAUAUCAGGAGGAACACCGGUGGCGAAGGCGGUUCUCUGGGAAUAUCCUGACGCUGAGGAGCGAAAGUGUGGGGAGCGAACAGG
rnacentral:rRNA from 1 species